UAUGACCCUUCACCAUUAAACCCUCUUCUAUUAUUUAUAUCCUUUUGUGCUUUCUUCAUCCCCCCCCACAUACAUUUCUCAAAUCUCUUUUGUCUCUCUUAAUCUGUUUCUCUCUCUCAAUCUCUCUCAAUAAGAUGUCGAUUCCAUCUAAAACCAAGAGCCCAAAAGUCACUAGUUGGGAGAUCCAACCAUUCGCAAAAAAAGUUGAAGUAGGAGUUGAUGCAGAUCCGGAGUCAACCAAAAAAAGGAGCAUGGUUUUGUAUUACUGAUAGAGUGCAAAAAUUCAUCGGGAAAAUAAUGAAGGAGUUUAGAAAAAAGGUGAAAGAA